GUAACGCGUGAGAAUCUGCCAUCAGGUCUGGGACAACCACUGGAAACGGUGGCUAAUACCGGAUGUGCCCUUCGGGGUGAAAGGUUAACUGCCUGUUGAUGAGCUCGCGUCUGAUUAGCUAGUUGGUGUGGUAAGAGCGCACCAAGGCGACGAUCAGUAGCUGGUCUGAGAGGACGAUCAGCCACACUGGGACUGAGACACGGCCCAGACUCCUACGGGAGGCAGCAGUGGGGAAUUUUCCGCAAUGGGCGAAAGCCUGACGGAGCAAUACCGCGUGAGGGAGGAAGGCUCUUGGGUCGUAAACCUCUUUUCUCAGGGAAGAACACAAUGACGGUACCUGAGGAAUAAGCAUCGGCUAACUCCGUGCCAGCAGCCGCGGUAAUACGGAGGAUGCAAGCGUUAUCCGGAAUGAUUGGGCGUAAAGCGUCCGCAGGUGGCUAUGUAAGUCUGCUGUUAAAGAGUCUAGCUCAACUAGAUAAGAGCAGUGGAAACUACAAGGCUAGAGUGCGUUCGGGGCAGAGGGAAUUCCUGGUGUAGCGGUGAAAUGCGUAGAGAUCAGGAAGAACACCAGUGGCGAAGGCGCUCUGCUAGGCCGCAACUGACACUGAGGGACGAAAGCUAGGGGAGCGAAUGGGAUUAGAUA
rnacentral:rRNA from 2 species